rnacentral:tRNA from 1 species
GCCCAGAUGGUGAAGAUAGUAGACACGGCGGUCUUAAAAUCCGCCGCGCUAUGACUGGUGCGUGCCGGUUAAAAUCCGGCUCCGGGCGCCA